AUUGAACGCUGGCGGCAUGCCUUACACAUGCAAGUCGAACGGCAGCACGGGGGCAACCCUGGUGGCGAGUGGCGAACGGGUGAGUAAUGCAUCGGAACGUGCCCAGUAGUGGGGGAUAACCAGUCGAAAGACUGGCUAAUACCGCAUACGACCCAAGGGUGAAAGCGGGGGACCGUAAGGCCUCGCGCUAUUGGAGCGGCCGAUGUCUGAUCAGCUAGUUGGCGGGGUAAGAGCCCACCAAGGCGACGAUCAGUAGCUGGUCUGAGAGGACGAACAGCCACACUGGGACUGAGACACGGCCCAGACUCCUACGGGAGGCAGAAGUGGGGAAUUUUGGACAAUGGGCGCAAGCCUGAUCCAGCCAUGCCGAGUGCGGGAAGAAGGCCUUCGGGUUGUAAACCGCUUUUGGCAGGAACGAAACGGCGCAGGCCAAUACCUUGCGCUAAUGACGGUACCUGCAGAAUAAGCACCGGCUAACUACGUGCCAGCCGCCGCGGUAACAC
rnacentral:rRNA from 1 species